GGACAAGAAGAAGGAACCAGGUGGCAGGAGUAUUACAACACGGCCUUUCGCAAAAAACUGGCUUUGGCAGCUAGAUCCACCCUUGCAGAGAAAGGCUGGAUUCUGCUGUGUACUUGCUUCACAGUUGAGUGGACUCCAAGAUGGAGUAGGACAGAGCAUCAACGGAGAGGCAAAACUGCAUGAACUAAACAAAAAUAUGACUUUUAGAUAAAAGGACUAUGGAAAGCCACCACGAUUGGCAACAAACUGGCACUAAGGAUUGG